GAUGAAGAACGCAGCGAAAUGCGAUAAGUAAUGUGAAUUGCAGAAUUCAGUGAAUCAUCGAAUCUUUGAACGCACAUUGCGCCCGCCAGUAUUCUGGCGGGCAUGCCUGUUCGAGCGUCAGUUCAACCAUCAAGCCCCCGGCUUGUGUUGGGGACCUGCGGCUGCCGCAGGCCCUGAAAAGCAGUGGCGGGCUCGCUGUCACACCGAGCGUAGUAGCAUACAUCUCGCUCUGGGCGUGCUGCGGGUUCCGGCCGUUAAACCACCUUCAUAACCCAAGGUUGACCUCGGAUCAGGUAGGAAGACCCGCUGAACUUAAGCAUAUCAAUAAGCGGAGGA
rnacentral:misc_RNA from 1 species